rnacentral:siRNA from 1 species
UACUUGGUGUGAAUUGCAGAA